UUGCUUUGCAGUCCUGGCUGAGUAAGCCAGAGCUGAAGAGUCCUGUGAUGAGAAGCAGAAACUUCUAACAUGAUGAUGGUUCAAAUUUGUUUUGGAAAUCUUAUGGUUUUCUAUGUUACCAGCUAAGGUAUGGAAAGUCUCAAAACCCAGAGCCAACAGCUUCCUGCAGCUGGAAAAAGCAGUUACAUUUCUGCAGUUAUGUUUACAAGAAAACAAUUGAAGCAGGCUUCAAAAGGCUCAUGAGGUUCUUCUGCACAGACCAGAUGUACUUUUCUGUUUACAGAGAUGCAAGUAGUCCAAAAGUCAUCCAUUCUACCUUCAUAGAAAAAGUGCCCAUGGAGUCCUCCAAGCACUGCAACUGAAGCAGCCAGCAGCAGCAAAACAAUAACGUCUUCCUGGUCAGCAACAUGAACUACGAGGAGGAUCUUGUUCACUGCUCCUGCAUAAAUGGAAAGCAGAAGGAUCUGGAUGUGAAACACUCAUUCUGUAGCAAAAAGGAAGAGCA
rnacentral:lncRNA from 1 species